UACAGAGGUCUCAAGCGUUGUUCGGAUUCAUUGGGCGUAAAGGGUGCGUAGGUGGCGGGGUAAGUCAGGUGUGAAAUCUCGGGGCUCAACCCCGAAACUGCACUUGAUACUGCCUUGCUCGAGUACUGGAGAGGGAGAUUGGAAUUUACGGUGUAGCAGUGAAAUGCGUAGAUAUCGGGAGGAACACCUAUGGCGAAGGCAGCUCGCUGGGACGUUACUGACGCUGAGACGCGAAAGCGUGGGGAGCAAACAGG
rnacentral:rRNA from 1 species